CAUGCGCGCAAGCKUGAUAGGGGKAKCCUUACGUGAUAUCGUUAUACGUUAUCUUUUUUAUAGUGCAGGAUGCUCUGAGAAUAAGGGGUGGGCAAGACCGGUGCCAGCCGCCGCGGUAACCCCGGCUCCCCGAGUGGUGGUCCAUACUGGGUCUAAAGGGUCCKUAGCCKGCCGACUAACUUCUUAGUGRAAUCUAACGGCUUAACCGYUAGGAKAGCUAGGGGUACUGAUUGGCUUGAGACUGGGAGGAGUUGGASGAAUGUCAUGGGGAGCGGUAAAAUGUUGUAAUCCACGAUAGACCMUCAGUAGCGAAGGCGUCCAACUAUAAACASGUCUGACAGGUGAGGGACAGAAAGCUAGGGGAGCAAACCGGAUUAUAUACCCSGGUAKUCCUAGCYAUAAACRCUGCCUGUUAUGCAUUGCGCGUUCUUCCGGAGCGCGCAGUACCGUAGCGAAAGUGUUAAACAGGCCACCUGGGAAGUACAGUCGCAAGGCUGAAACUUAAAGGAAUUGCGGGGGGAAAAC
rnacentral:rRNA from 1 species